UACAGGAGGCCCGAGCGUUAAUCGGAAUCACUGGGCUUAGAGGGUGCGUAGGCGGACCUGAGGGUGUACUGUGAAAUCCCCCGGCUCAACCGGGGAAUCGCGGCGCAAACCGCAGGUCUUGAGGCGGCUAGGGGCCGUCGGAACGCUCGGUGGAGCGGUGAAAUGCGUAGAUAUCGAGCGGAACGCCGAUGGUGAAGACAGACGGCUGGGGCCGUCCUGACGCUGAGGCACGAAAGCGUGGGGAUCAAACAGG
rnacentral:rRNA from 1 species